rnacentral:rRNA from 1 species
GACGAACGCUGGCGGCGUGCUUAACACAUGCAAGUCGAACGGAAAGGCCCUGCUUUUGUGGGGUGCUCGAGUGGCGAACGGGUGAGUAACACGUGAGUAACCUGCCCUUGACUUUGGGAUAACUUCAGGUAACUGGGGCUAAUACCGGAUAGGAGCUCCUGCUGCAUGGUGGGGGUUGGAAAGUUUCGGCGGUUGGGGAUGGACUCACGGCUUAUCAGCUUGUUGGUGGGGUAGUGGCUUACCAAGGCUUUGACGGGUAGCCGGCCUGAGAGGGUGACCGGCCACAUUGGGACUGAGAUACGGCCCAGACUCCUACGGGAGGCAGCAGUGGGGAAUAUUGCACAAUGGGCGGAAGCCUGAUGCAGCAACGCCGCGUGCGGGAUGACGGCCUUCGGGUUGUAAACCGCUUUCGCCUGUGACGAAGCGUGAGUGACGGUAAUGGGUAAAGAAGCACCGGCUAACUACGUG